rnacentral:rRNA from 1 species
CAAUAGCGUAUAUUAAAGUUGUUGCAGUUAAAAAGCUCGUAGUUGGAUUUCUGGUUGAAGCGACCGGUCGGGCGUUGAUUCGUCUGCACUGGAGUCGGUUUUGGCCAUCCUCUAGGAAAGUGCGUCUGGUAUUAAGUUAUCGGGCGUAUGAUCCUGGUCUUUUACUGUGAAAAAAUUAGAGUGUUUAAAGCAGGCCUUCGCCUUGAAUACAUUAGCAUGGAAUAAUAAGAUAGGACUUUGGUCUAUUUUGCUGGUUUGCAGACCGAAGUAAUGAUUAAUAGGGAUAGUUGGGGGUAUUUAUAUUCCGAUGUCAGAGGUGAAAUUCUUAGAUUUUCGGAAGAUAAACUUAUGCGAAAGCAUUUACCAAGGAUGUUUUCAUUAA